UACAGAGGUCUCAAGCGUUGUUCGGAUUCAUUGGGCGUAAAGGGUGCGUAGGCGGUGAGGUAAGUCGGAUGUGAAAGCCCUGGGCUCAACCCAGGAAGUGCAUUCGAAACUGCAGAGCUGGAGUCCUGGAGAGGAAGGCGGAAUUCUCGGUGUAGAGGUGAAAUUCGUAGAUAUCGAGAGGAACACCGGUGGCGAAGGCGGCCUUCUGGACAGUGACUGACGCUGAGACGCGAAAGCGUGGGGAGCAAACAGG
rnacentral:rRNA from 1 species